UACGUAGGGUGCGAGCGUUGUCCGGAAUUAUUGGGCGUAAAGAGCUCGUAGGCGGUGUGUCACGUCGUUCGUGAAAACCUGCAGCUUAACUGUGGGCGUGCGGUCGAUACGGGCAUCACUGGAGUUCGGCAGGGGAGACUGGAAUUUACGGUGUAGCGGUGAAAUGCGUAGAUAUCGUAAGGAAGACCAGUGGCGAAGGCGGGUCUCUGGACAGUUCCUGACGCUGAGGCACGAAGGUCAGGGGAGCAAACGGG
rnacentral:rRNA from 1 species